rnacentral:rRNA from 1 species
GGGUCAGUAGGUUGGUCGUGCCACCGGUACGUACUGGUCUCACUGAUUCCUCCUUCCUGAAGAACCGUAAUGCCAUUAAUUUGGUGUUGCGGGGAAACAGGACUGUUACUUUGAAAAAAUUAGAGUGUUUAAAGCAAGCUAACGCUUGAAUACAUUAGCAUGGAAUAAUGAAAUAGGACGAUCGAUCCUAUUUUGUUGGUUUCUAGGAUUGACGUAAUGAUUAAUAGGGAUUGGG